GACGAACGCUGGCGGCGUGCUUAACACAUGCAAGUCGAACGGUAAGGCCCAGCAUCUAUGCUUUGCCAGAGUGGCGUUCGGGUGUGUAAGCAGUGAGUAACGUGACCUUUACUCAGGGUUACUCUCAGGAAGCUGGGGCCAAUACCGGCUAGCAGCUCCACCAGAUAACUGUGGGACGGAAAGUUUCGGCGGAUGGGGAUGGACUCGCGGCUGGUCUGAUUGCGGGUGGGGUUGAGGCUUACCAAGGCUUUGACGGGUCGCCGGCCUGGGAGGGUGACCGGCCACAUUACGACUGAGAUACGGCCCAGACUCCAACGGGACGCAACGGUGGGGAGUAUUACACAGUGGGCGGAAGCCUGAUGCGACAACGCCGCGUGCGGGAAGUCGUGCUGCAAGUUGUAAACCGCUUUCGCCUGUGACGAGGCGUAAGUGACGGUAAUGGAUAAAGAAGCACCGGCUAACUACGUG
rnacentral:rRNA from 1 species